UACGUAGGGUCCGAGCGUUGUCCGGAAUUAUUGGGCGUAAAGGGCUCGUAGGCGGUUCGUCGCGUCGGGAGUGAAAACUCGGAGCUCAACUCCGAGCCUGCUUCCGAUACGGGCAGACUAGAGGUAGGCAGGGGAGAGCGGAACUCCUGGUGUAGCGGUGGAAUGCGCAGAUAUCAGGAAGAACACCAAUGGCGAAGGCAGCUCUCUGGGACGGUACUGACGCUGAGACGCGAAAGCGUGGGGAGCGAACAGG
rnacentral:rRNA from 1 species